rnacentral:rRNA from 1 species
AGCAUAUUAAUAAGCGGAGGAAAAGAAACUAACAAGGAUUCCCUCAGUAACGGCGAGUGAAGCGGGAAGAGCUCAAAUUUGAAAUCUCCGAUGCUUGCAUCGGCGAGUUGUAGUUGCGAGAAGCACUUUCUAGGUGGAUCGCUGGUGCCUAAGUUGCUUGGAACAGCACGUCGCAGAGGGUGACAACCCCGUCUGUGGCGCCAGCGGCCGCUGACGAUGUGCUUUCGAAGAGUCGGGUUGUUUGGGAAUGCAGCCCAAAAUGGGUGGUAAACUCCAUCUAAAGCUAAAUACUGGCGUGAGACCGAUAGCGAACAAGUACCGUGAGGGAAAGAUGAAAAGAACUUUGAAAAGAGAGUUAAAAAGUACGUGAAACCGUCGAAAGGGAAACGAAUGGACUCAGCAAUGCGCCCUCUGAGAUUCAGCCGGUGGGUGGCGUCGGCGCUGGGUUUGCGGAUCUGAAUGGACCGCGGCCUUGCGCUCGCUGCCUCCCGCCGUCGCACUUCUCUGGGGCGCGCGUCAACGUGGGUUGGGACUGGGUCUGAAAGGUGCCGGGAAGGUAGGUGUGGGCCUUCGGGUCCGUUCUGUUACAGCCCGGCUCUCUCAUGGCUCGGGCCCGACCGAGGAGUGACAGGGCAUGCCUCCUGUGGCUAGGGUCCCGUCCUUCCGGCCGGCUGUCCAGUGUGGUGGACUGCUUGCAGUGCUCCGCGACGGCUGCCGGUCGUUGGGGUGGUGAUCUCGUACCAUGCCCUUAGGAUGUUGGCGGUCAUAUG